rfam:Canis lupus familiaris chromosome 6, whole genome shotgun sequence.
GUCUACGGCCAUACCACCCUGAACGCGCCCGAUCUCGUCUGAUCCCGGAAGCUAAGCAGGGUCGGGCCUGGUUAGUACUUGGAUGGGAGAAUAUUGGCAUUUCCAGGAGGAAACA